AUGUUUGCUAUAUUGUUUGGACGAGACAUUUUUCCGAUGUUGACGUUGCUUUAUCUCAUUUCUCCAAUAUUGCUGCUCUGCAUUCAGCUUUCUCACCACAUCGAGGGUGUAGCACGGAAAAGGGUGUGGGGGAAAGAUGGCUCCUCGUCAGACUUCCUUAAAUCCUCUUUAAACCUCUUCACAGAUCAUGUUUCAAACCUAUUCAACCCAUCUUUAGACUUCCUAGUCCACCUUAAACCCCCUCAGGCCUCCUUAAAAACCUCCCAACAUCAUCAAACCUUAUUAACUCAAAUCCCAAUUAAACCUCUUCACAUUAUCAAACCUUAUCAAACCACCUCAGGCCUCCUUAAACAUCUCCAAACAUCCUCAAACCUUUUCAAAUCGCCCCAAUCCUCCUUAGACCUCAUCAAACCUUCUCAACUCCCCUUUAGACUUCCCAGUACCCCUCAAACCUCCUAAACACCUUUUAAAUCCCAUUUAGGAUUUCCCAAACCUUAACACCAUCAUCAAACCUCGUCAAGUCUUGUUAAACAUCCUUCAAACCUUAUCAAACCUGCUCAGGCCUCCUCAAAAAUCCUCAAUCCCUUCCCAGUCUCUCUCAAACCUCCUCAGGCCUCCUUAAACCUUCUCAGACCUCUCCAAACCUCCCGUCAGAAUUCCCAGUCCCCCUCAUACCUUAUCAGACCUCUUUAAACCUCCACUAAAUUUCAGAAACCUUUUCAAAUCUCCACAAUCCUCAUCAGACCUUCUCAAACCUUCUCAAACCCUCUUUAGACUUCCCAAACUUACUCAGACUAGCUCAAACCCCAUUUAGGGUUCUCAAACCUUCUCAAAUCCCAUUUAAACUCACCCCAAACCUCUUCAAACCUCCCUAAACAUCUCCAAACCUCCUUAAAUCCAACUUAAACCUCACCAAACCUCUGCAGACCUCCCUAAACCCCCCGAAAUGUCAAAUACCUUUGAGAAAGAAGCUACAGUUAUUGAUGUUUGCUAUAUUGGUUGGACGAGACAUUUUCUGAUGUUGACGUUGCUUUAUCUCAUUUCUCGAAUAUUGCUGCUCUGCAUUCAGCUUUCUCACCAUGAGGGUGGAGCACUGAAAAGGGGGUGGAGCACUGAAAAGGGGGUGGAGCACUGAAAAGUGUGAUUAUGUAAAGUAUAAAGGAGCUCCUCCACAGGACUGACCCAGUUCCCCACGGACAGUCAAACCAUGAAGUUCCAGGUCAGGAAACUCUGUUAAAAAGAUGGCUGUGGGCCCACGGUCAGCUUGCUCUAGGUUCUUGAUGAGUGCAGCUCAUUCUUUCACUCUUGCUCUCUCUUUUCCUGAGACAAUUGGCACAAAUCCAUAAUAACGCUUAUAAUGAUGAGCGAUUUCCAUCUCCUGAAACUGGGUGAUAUAAUCUCAAAUCAAUAUCAUGAUUUAUUGAACAAAUUUUACCUAAAAACCCAAAUGAACCUAAAUUAACAUUGACAAGAUCACGUCCAAACAGAGGUUCAGUUCAUUUUUGAUGAUUUGCCCGGCCCUAGAUGUGAGACAUAUGUUUACUGGAAGAUUUCCUGAUAAUGUUAGAUUCCCAGUUGGCGUUUUACUUUCUAAAGCAGAUCAGGAAAGUAAGCCGAGUGCUGCCUGCACUGUGAAACUGGGUCACUGAACCUUCUGUUGAAUAUGCUGAAUACACUGCCCGACACAGAGCUUGUUACCACACACACACACACACACACACACUACACCUUAUACACAAACACUACACACUAUGGAAAGGGAAAUAUGGGUUCAGAAGAAUGCAGAAUGGCCGUUAUCAUCCUUAAAAACAAGUUAAACUCCUCUAAAUCCUUUAAACAUCUUCAUACAUCAUCAAACCUUUAAAACUCCUCAAAACUUCUCAAAAUUUGUCAAAGCCCCUUAGACUGCCUACAGACUUCCUCAAACCAUGUUAGAUGUCCUUAGACCUCCCUAAACCAACUCAGACCUCCUUAAACCUUCUUAGACACCAUUUAAACCUCCUAAAUCUCCACCAAACCAACUCAGACCUCCUUAAACCUUCUUAGACACCAUUUAAACCUCCUAAAUCUCCACCAAACCAACUCAUACCUCCUUAAACCUUCUUAGACACCAUUUAAACCUCCUAAAUCUCCCCAAACCAACUCAGGCCUCCACAAACCAACUUAGUCCUGCUAAAACCCUCUCAAACCCCAUUUAGACCUCUUAAAUCUCCCCAAACCAAUUCAGACCUCCUCAAACCCUUUCAGAUUCCCAUUUAGACCUCCAAAAUCUACCUAAACCAACCCAAACCUCCUCAAACCCUCUCAGACCUCCUCACACCCUCUCAGACCCCAUUUAGACUUACCAAAUCUCCCUAAACCCAUCCAAACCUCCUCAAACUAACUUAGACCUCCUCAAACCCUCUCAGAUCCCAUUUAGACCUCCCAAAUCUCUCCAAACCUCCUCAGAUCACGUAUAACCCAUCCAAACCUACCCAAAGCACUUUAGACCUCCUCAGAUAAACUCAAACCUCCUCAGAUCUCCUCAAACCCUCGUAGACCCCAUUUAGACGUCCCUAUCCUCAUCAGAACCCUUCAUUAGACCUCCUCAAACCACCUUAAAACUUCCUCAAAACUUCUAGAAACCUCUUCAGACCUACUAAAAUCUCCUUUAAAAAGCGCAAACCUCCUCAGACCACCUUAAACCUCACAAGACAGACAUCCCACAAUCUCUCUAAACCUCCUCAGACCUCCCUAAACCUUCUGGAUGUCCUCAGACCUCCUAAGACCUUGUUUCUCUGCUCCACCCUCGAUUUCUUCGGGUCACUCAGACGGUGAAUCUGAGGAAGCUGAAUAUGACACCGACCCGGCAGGGUCCACACGGUUAACCCUUUGAGCACUGAGGGACAUUAGGAGCUCGGACAGAGCGAAGAUGAAGAUGAUUGUUAUUAUUAUAGAUUAGCAAUAACUGAUCUCAGUGUGACGGAGUGUCACGGUUAUGCAGUAAAUGAUUAAAAUGCAGUAAAACACAGCGUCACUGAGAGGCAGCGAAUCUACGGUACAGUCUGCGCUCUGACGUGACGACACUCUUCAUUCUCGCUUCAGAAAAAUCCGAACAAAACCAAACGGGAACGGGAAGCUGAAUGUGCCGCAGCGGUGCACAAAGGGUUAAUGUAUGACUUUGGCCAGGAAAGGCCGGUAUCAGUUUUUUUCUUGUUGCACAUUGAAAUAUUUUAUCAGUAUUUCCUUUUUGCCAAGUGCCUUUUUAUUGUAGGUGAAAUGUAGAAAUACAAAUACAGUAUAUGAAAAAUAAAUAUAUAUAUUUUUUCCGAGCGUUAUGUUCU
ensembl:lncRNA